rnacentral:misc_RNA from 1 species
CAGAGUUCUUGCCCUUUGGGUAGAUCUCCCACCCUAUGUAUUUUGUACCUUUGUUGCUUUGGCAGGCCGUCAGGCUUCGGCUCGACCACUGGCUUCGGCUCGUGUGCGCCUGCCAGAGGAAUCCAAACUCUGAAAAUUAGUGUCGUCUGAGUACUAUUUAAUAGUUA